GCGGUUUUAUAAAGGAACUCUCGUAAUAGGCCGUGUUAACUGAAACAAACUAAAAAUUUGCCGGGCCUAUGAAGUUGGGCCGGGUUGUUAGGAAAUUACGGCGCGACUUUAGCACUAUCGGACCCAAUUGCCUAUGGCUGCGUUUGGUUCAGGUAUAAAUAAGAACUGCUUGUUCCAGGGAUAGGUACAAGUUCAGGUAUAAGCAGGAACUAGACCAAUUUUGCGUUUGGAUGAAAAUUAAGUUGUUCCUAGGAGUAAGGUAAAUAGCGUUUGGAUGGUUAAAUUGGAACAAGAGGAAUAAAAGUUAUAAUUUGAAAUUAAAAUUAUAUUAUCUAAUUAAUUAACAUCAAAAUAUUACUUAAAAAUAAAUAAUAAAUAAAUUAUUAAUAAAUAAUUAUAAAUAAUAAUAAUUAUUAAUUAUUAAUUAUUAAUCAUUAUUAUUAAUUAAUUAUUAUUAAUUAUUUAUAAUUAUUUAUAAGUAAUAAAUUAAUUAAUUAUUAAUAAAUUAUUAAUAAUUAUUAAUUAAUUAAUUAUUAAUAAUUAUUUAUAAGUAAUAAAUUAAUUAAUAAUAAUUAUCUAAUUAUUAAUUAUUAAUUAUAAAUCAUUAUUAAUAAAUAAUAAUAAUUAUUUAAUUAUUAAUUAUUAAUAAUAAAUUACUAAUAAUAUCGAUUAUCUAAUUAAUAAGAAUAAUUAUUUUAUUAUUAAUUAUUAUUUAAAUAAUAAUAUUAAUAAUUAAUUAUAAGUAAUAAAUUAAUUAAUAAUAAUUAUCUAAUUAUUAAUAAUUAAUUAUAAAUAAUAAAUUAAUAAUAAUAUCGAUUAUCUAUUUCUUAAGAAUAAUAAUUAUUAAUAAUUAUUAUUUAAUUAAUAAUUAUUAAUAAAUAAUAAUUAUUAAAUUAAUAAUUAUUAUUAUCUAAUUAUAAAUAAUUAAUUAUAAUUAAUUAUUUGUUUAUUUAUUUUAUUAUUUAAGCAAUAGAUAAUAAUUCAAAUAUAUUAAUUAGAUUAAUUAAUAAUUUACUAUCAUUAAAAUUUAAAUUUAGAUUUAAUUAACCUUGUUCUCAUUCGGGAGCAAGCUUGUUUCAGGAAAAAGAUGGAACAGCAGUUCAAGCCAGUUCCAGUCUUAUAUCAGUGUAACCCCCGAGAUCUCGGAAGAAAUUAUCGAACUUUAGCCGAAUCGACUAAAGUAUGCGAAGAAGAUGGAUGGACAAGUCCCAAUUAACAUUCCAACACUGUUGGAAUGGUUAAAAGUAAGCUCUAAAAGAGUUGGAGGGGUUUUGGCAUCGAACGGCGCGAAGUAGAGCGAAAUCGAAGCCAAAAAUGAUAUUCUGGAUGUCUUAUACCGGUACUAGCCCAAUGGUUGUACCGGUACAACCAGCGAAGCUCUCGGGUUGGAGCUGCCAGGCCUUGUACCGGUACAAGGGACCUUGUACCGGUACAAGCCCUGCGUAACCGAGAGAACCAGCUCUCGGGUUGGGCUGUCUGCCAGGCCUUGUACCGGUACGAGACCCCGUGUACCGGUACAAGAAGCCCGACCAGCGGGAGAUGUUUCAGAUAUGAAAAAAUUAGAGGGGCUUAUUUGCAAAUAUGCCUAUAUGAGGGCUGGGGAUCCACUCCCCUCUUAUUUUUCUCUCAUUUCUCUCCCUCUCUCACACCUCUCUUGCUCUCUCUCUCUCUCUAAACCGAAAAGAGAAAGAAAGAAGAAGAAGAAGAAGAAGAAGAAAGGAAGGAGAGGAAGAACAAGAAAAGAGGAGGAAAGGAAGGAGAAAAUCCAGGAGAAGGAGAAGAAGCUCAUCUCCCUUCUCUCUUUCAAGCUAAAGCUAGCUUUGGAGCAAGCUUUUAGAGGUAAGCUCUAACCCUAAAAUGGCAUUUCUAGGGUUUAGGAUUUUGGUUGCUUUUGAGUGGUUCAAAUGGAACCCAUUUGAGUUAGAGAAGAUGGUUCUAGCUCACAUUGAAGUUUUGAACCAUGGAUUGCACCAUUGAUGCAAACCUAGAGUUAGGGUUUGGGUUUUGAACCCUAGAUCUUGGUUUUGAUCUCCCUACAAGUUUUAGAACCUUACAUUAGGCAAAAGAACACAUGAAAUCCAAGUGUUCCUCAAAGUGCUCUAAUGGUGGAAUCCUCGGGUUUGUUCUAAAUACCCUAGGAAUGAUUCUAAUGAGAUGGAAGCAAGUUUAGAGAACUUCUCGGGUGGUUCUAAGCUUAAUUAUGCUUAGCUAUGAGAUCAAUCCCAAGAAAUUUGAUUAUGGCAUUGCUAGGGCACCAAAUUUGGGGCUUUUGCCUCCGGAUGUUUUCGAGGUAAAUUGACCUCUUGAAAACCUAAUUGGGGAUCAAACAAACGCGUUGGUGCACUCGGUUCGGUGAAACAAAGAGUGUACGCGAAGUUAUUGAUAAAAGGUUGGUUUUGAUACAGAUAGCCGCAGCACGCGGGAUAAGCGUCUAAAAAUCGUGAGAUCAGAACUGGAGCACCUUGGAGUCAAGGAAUAAGCACCGGAAAAGACGGAUCGCGAUUUGGAGGUCGUUUGGAGGUCGCGCAAGAGUUCGGGCCAAACCGGACAACGGUUGCCGCGGGAGGCCGAUUGCAAGUGACUACGAGCAAUCGGAGUGCGAGUUAAGGUGGGUUGUGUUUACCGAAGCGACUAGGUCGCCCUUAUGUCUAAAAAAUGUUAAAAAUCUAUGUUGACGCAUAUAAAUGUAAAUGGGACAUGUAUAGGAUGCAUAUAGCUAAUGCUAAUUAAAGCAUGUCCGUAGUAUGUGUAAAGUGCUAUGUAAAUGCAUGACGAGCAUUGUGAGACUAUGUAUAUACAUGUAAACUAGAAGAGUGCGGGUAAGAACAAUGCAUAGAACGAAUUGCANAUUAUUAUCUAAUUAUAAAUAAUUAAUUAUAAUUAAUUAUUUGUUUAUUUAUUUUAUUAUUUAAGCAAUAGAUAAUAAUUCAAAUAUAUUAAUUAGAUUAAUUAAUAAUUUACUAUCAUUAAAAUUUAAAUUUAGAUUUAAUUAACCUUGUUCUCAUUCGGGAACAAGCUUGUUUCAGGAAAAAGAUGGAACAGCAGUUCCAGCCAGUUCCAGUCUUAUAUCAGUGUAACCCCCGAGGUCUCGAAAGAAAUUAUCGAACUUUAGCCGAAUCAACUAAAGUAUGCGAAGAAGAUGGAUGGACAAGUCCCAAUUAACAUUCCAACACUGUUGGAAGGGUUAAAAGUAAGCUCUAAAAGAGUUGGAGGGGUUUUGCCAUCGAACGGCGCGAAGUAGAGCGAAAUCGAAGCCAAAAAUGACAUUCUGG
rnacentral:lncRNA from 1 species